UGGCGUAGUGGUCACUGUACUCGCCUUGCACGCGGGAGACCCGGGUUCGAUUCCCGG
rnacentral:tRNA from 1 species